GACACAGCAGAGUGUUGAUUGUUAUCAAAUUAGAUAACACAGUGUUGUGUUUAUUAUUCAGUGACAUCAUAGCUGUGCUAACCAAAUAAAAUAUACAUAAACAUUUUAUCUCUUUAGCAAUCAUCACAAUCUGUAGCCCAGGAAAGCAAAAGUUAUUAAUAUUAGAAAAAAUUUUUAAUUAUUUUUAUUUUUCCAUUAUAGUUGGUAGAGUUCUGUCCGUUUUCUACUGUCCAGCAAAGUGACCCAGUCAUACACACAUAUAUACAUCCUUUUUCUCACAUUAUCCUCCAUCAUGCUCUGUCAUAAGUGACUAGAUAUAGUUGCCAGUGCUAUACAGCAGGAUCUCAUUGCUUAUCCAUUCCAAAGGCAAUGGUUUGCAUUUAAAAUGAAAUAUUUUACCACAGCAGAAUGAAAAUGAGGCUAUAACCAAAGUAAGUUUCCAAGUGGCUCAUUUGUUAGUAUGUGGGACUAUCUGUGUGAAAAGACAUUUUCAAGCACGAGAUAUGCAGAAUCUCACUACAGAUGAGCCUUAGCAGUUACACAUCUGCAGUAAAUUUGGAUGAUGAAGAAUACUAAUUUUGAACCCUAGUUAAGCCAAAUAUUCCCCCCCAAUUUUUGAUUUUUACCAAUAGUAGAUCUGUGUCUCUCUCUCUCGGGUACACACACCACAUCGACACAAUUGCUGUUGAUCACUGCUACUUCAUUUGAAAGUCACCAGUUAAAACAACUGCGGAGAUGUUUUUUAUCUUUUUGUAUAGAUAUCUACACAGUAUCCUAUGCUGUGCCUUUUUGCCCGCAAAGCUUAAGAGAUUUACUGUCUGGCUCUUUACUAAAUAAGUUUGCCAUUACCUGUCUAAAGUACAUAAAAAUACUUUCCUUCUAUGAAACAAUACUUUUAUGUCAUAAGACUUAAAUAUUUUGAUUACGUAGUUAAUAAAUAGUUCAUUCUACAGUUGUUUUUAAGACACAAGUUAGGUAUCGUUUCAUUAUUGAUUUACACAUUUGAAAAAUAUUUAACAUUUCUAGUCUCUUUACUGCCAUUCUUUCUAAUGCCUAAGCCCUCCCUUUCUCAACCCUUUUCCUUUCCCCUGAAGUAUAUCAUUUAGAACAAUUUUAAGGAGGAUUCAGCUUUGGCUGAUGUUUAUUUUGUCUUUAUUUCCAAUGUAUAAUUUUGCUGAGUAUACUCUGAAAGUUAUUUUCGUUUAGCAUGGGGAAAUAUUUCCUCCUGUCUCUGGGCUUCCACAGUGGUUGCUGAAAAUUCUGCUACUGGUGCUGUGUUCUUAGAUACUCAGAGGACUUCUAAACUUCAACAUACUCAUCACCAAUCUAGAGUGGGUACUAUAGCUAAUUUUAAUAAUAACAUAAUCCUUAGGCAUAAAUGAUUUAAUAUUCUAAACUUCAACAUGCCUUGCCCUUCUUUUCAAAUUUUUCAAUAUUUUUUAAUCUGAGCUUUAGAGGAAUUUAAGAUUAUAGUGAAAUUUUCAAACACAGCAUUGCUGAAAGUAUAUCAAUUUUUUUACUCUGCAUAAUGAAGAUAACAUAUAAAUAUGUAACAGUGCUUUUCUUUUGUGCAUUCGCAUCCAUAGAUGAUUUAAUAUUACUAAAAUUAAAAUAUUGCCACCCAUUUUCAGAUGCAUUGUUCCAUUUUAUUCUGGCAGCAGUCCUACGUAUUAGACAGCUGUGGUAGACUAUAUUUUUCAAAAUUUGUUGCACAAAUAGCUCCCACUACUUGCUUGUCUUAUAUUGUGACUUUUACCCCUCCUUUUGAAGGUAGGUGUGAUUAUGACAGGUAUGUCCCUGGGAUCUCUGACCUUAGGUCGUAAAAGUCCCACAGUAUCUGCCUGGGUUAUUUGGGUGCUCACUGUUAGAUCCGAGUCUUUGUGAGGAAGUCCUGUGACCACAGGGAGAGGCUCCAUGUAAGUGUUCCAACUGAGAUUCCUGGUGACAGUACCAACCAUCAGGCAGAGGGAGGCAGACUUCAGAUGCCUUCAGCCCAGGCCAUUGCGGCACCCCCAGGCAGUUACAUCCUGUGGAGCAGAAAUGGGCUGUUCUUAUCAAUCCCUGCCAAAAGAGCAAAAUAAAUCUCUAUUAUUUUAAGCCACUAUGUUUGAAGUACUUUGUUUCCCUGCCACAAAUGACUAGAGUAGUUAUUAUUUUCAUCAAUUGAAACAAAAAUGGUAUGAGUCUUAGCAUAACAAGUGAAUUAGCUUUUCCAAGUUCACAUAGUAACUGAGUAAAGAUAGAGGAUUGCACGAACAUUUUUAAACUCUGCAACCUUUACGUAUAUUAAUAUUUGUAAUUUCGCAUAGAACCCCAAUAAGAUACACACCACUGAGGAUCUUGAUAAUAAACAUGGGGCACAGGGAAGUUAAGGCAAAGCGUCCAAAUUUAUACAAGUUGUAAGUGGCCAUAGCCCAGAUGCAAACCUGGUAGCUUCUCUCUCAAAUACGUUUUCUUAACCAUUCUAUAAUCAGACUUUUCGACUUCUUCCUCUUUCCACUAAUCCAUAUCACAUUGACAGCUCUAAAACCGUAAAAGUUUAAGAUAGGAAUUGAGUUAUCUGCCCUAAUAUUUGGUUUAGCAGUCUAAAAAGAGUGGAGGCAGGUUCUCUCUGCUAAUAAUGACACAUACAUACAAACUAUGUGCACAUGUUCAGAGGGUUACAGACCUGCUUGAAGCCAAGAGAUUUAACUGUAGGUUGUAGGAAACUCACAAUCUCCUUUUUUACAUCGUAAGUGGACCUCCAGACCUCUAAUGUGAAGGCAACAGAAGGAAAUUUACACCAUAAUGAUGCAAAAUGAAGAAAUUGAUGAAUUACUCUAAGCAGAGAUAAAAUGGAAAUCAACUUAGUUUUAUCAAGAUACAUUAGGCAGUUUCCCAAUCUGCAUAUUUAUUAUGAAUAACACUCUCCUUUUUCUACAAUAAGUUUAUCUUAGGAAUGGCUUUUGAUAAUGCUCCUGUCUAUGAUUCCUUCUUUGUAUUAAAAGAUUAGCAUCCAAUAUUAAUCUUAAGACUUAGACUUUUGGCCAAAGCAUUGAUGUUUAGUAGAAUCCAAAAAAUAAAUUGACGUCUAAAUUGUUUAAGUGCAAUGGGAAUAGGUGUCAAAAAAAAAAAAAAAA
rnacentral:lncRNA from 1 species